rnacentral:rRNA from 1 species
CCUACGGGUGGCAGCAGUGGGGAAUAUUGGACAAUGGGGGCAACCCUGAUCCAGCCAUGCCGCGUGUGUGAAGAAGGCCCUCGGGUUGUAAAGCACUUUCAGUGAGGAAGAACGCCUGGUGGUUAAUACCCAUCAGGAAAGACAUCACUCACAGAAGAAGCACCGGCUAACUCCGUGCCAGCAGCCGCGGUAAUACGGAGGGUGCGAGCGUUAAUCGGAAUUACUGGGCGUAAAGCGCGCGUAGGUGGCUUGAUAAGCCGGUUGUGAAAGCCCCGGGCUCAACCUGGGAACGGCAUCCGGAACUGUCAAGCUAGAGUGCAGAAGAGGAAGGUAGAAUUCCCGGUGUAGCGGUGAAAUGCGUAGAGAUCGGGAGGAAUACCAGUGGCGAAGGCGGCCUUCUGGACUGACACUGACACUGAGGUGCGAAAGCGUGGGUAGCAAACAGGAUUAGAUACCCGAGUAGUC